AACUCCGGCUGCGAUUUUUAGGGUUAUUUCCUUUUUGUAUGUAGCCGCCGGAUUGUUGGCAAUUUGGGUAGGUUUCUUCACUUUUGUUUCCGAUUUAGGGUUGAUCGUUAACAAUAAAAAGUUUGUGGUGCAAUCAUGUCCAAAUCGGUGUAUUCAAAUGCCUCGGCUCGGGAAAAGAAUGGUGGUGAUGCAUCCGAUUUGGUCCUGGAUCGUCUAAUACGAAUCCCCUCGGUGUCCGGUAAGAGAAUAGUUAUGGUACAUAAUAAUUGGUCCCGUAUUUUUCAAUUUAAAUGCCUUUGUUAGAAAACCCUAAUUGGGAAAGACCGAAAGAGUGUGGUGCAUGAUACGAUGGUCCCGGUCCUAGAUUUUUCGAAAAAUUGCCUUGGUUAUAAACCAGAUCGGUUUUAAAAUGCCUCGGCUCGGUUAUAGAUGGGGAAGAAUUGGUGGUGGUGCAUAAAAAGUUGUCCCUUUUCUAUUCAAAUGCCUCGGUUCAAAAACCCUUUCUAAAGCUUAUCACGGUAAGCUUAUGAUUGGGAAAGAGUGUCCGAUUAUAUUCAAAUGCCUCAUUUAGAAACCCAUUCUAAGCUUAUUGUGAUAAGCUUAUGAUUGGGACAAAGUGUGGUUGCCUGAUACUUGGUCCGAUUCUAUUCAAAUGCCUCGGUUUAAAAACCCAUUCUAAAUCUUAUCACAGUAAGCUUAUGAUUGGGAAAGAGUGUCCGAUUCUAUUCAAAUGCCUCGGUUAAAAACCCAUUCUAAGCUUAUUGUGAUCAGCUUAUGAUUGGGACAAAGUGUGGUUGCCUGAUACUUGGUCCGAUUCUAUUCAAAUGCCUCGGUUUAAAAACCCAUUCUAAAUCUUAUCACAGUAAGCUUAUGAUUGGGAAAGAGUGUCCGAUUCUAUUCAAAUGCCUCGGGUAAAAACCCAUUCUAAGCUUAUCACAGUAAACAUAUGAUUGGGAAAGAGUGUCCGAUUCUAUUCAAAUGCCUCAGUUAAAAUGAUUGGGAAAGAGUGUGGUGCAUGAUACUUGGUCUCGAUUCCAUAUUGUUCUAAAAAUUGCCUUACUUAGUAAGCUUAUAAAUGAUUAAGAGUAAAGUGCAUGAUACUCUGUCUCAGAUUCUUUACUUGAAUGCCUUAAUUCAAAAGUAAAAACUCAUUGGAAGCUAAUCUAAUAUGCUUGGGAGUGGGAAAGAGUUGUGGUGCAUGAUGAUACUGGCCCCUUUUCUAUUCAAAUGCCUCGGUUUUAAAACCCAUUCUAGCUUAUAACAAUAAGCUUAUGAUUGGGAAGGAGUGUGGUGCAUGAUAUAUGGUCCCGUUUCUACUCAGAUGCCUCAGUUAAAAACCCAUAAUAUUGGGAAAAGAGUGUGGUGCAUGAUACUUGGUCCCAGUCCCAGAUUGUUCUAAAAUGUCUUUACUUAAUAAGCUUGUAAAUGAUUAAGAGUAUGGUGCAUGAUACUUGGUCCUUGAUUCUCUAAUCGAAUGCCUUGGUCCAUGAUAAUUGGUCCCGAUUUUAUUCAAA